GAUAAACGCUGGCGGCGCACAUAAGACAUGCAAGUCGAACGAACUUAAUUGAGAGCUUGCUCUCAAAGCGGUUAGUGGCGGACUGGUGAGUAACACGUAAGCAACCUGCCUAUUAGAGGGGAAUAACAGCGAGAAAUCGUUGCUAAUACCGCAUAUGCUGUGAGUAUCGCAUGAUACAAGCAGGAAAGGAGCAAUCCGCUAAUAGAUGGGCUUGCGUCUGAUUAGUUAGUUGGUGGGGUAACGGCCUACCAAGACGAUGAUCAGUAGCCGGACUGAGAGGUUGAACGGCCACAUUGGGACUGAGAUACGGCCCAGACUCCUACGGGAGGCAGCAGUCGGGAAUAUUGCGCAAUGGAGGAAACUCUGACGCAGUGACGCCGCGUGCAGGAAGAAGGUUUUCGGAUUGUAAACUGCUUUUAACAGGAAAGAAAA
rnacentral:rRNA from 1 species